UGGGGAAUUUUGGACAAUGGGCGAAAGCCUGAUCCAGCAAUGCCGCGUGUGUGAAGAAGGCCUUCGGGUUGUAAAGCACUUUUGUCCGGAAAGAAAUGGCUCUGGUUAAUACCUGGGGUCGAUGACGGUACCGGAAGAACAAGGACCGGCUAACUACGUGCCAGCAGCCGCGGUAAUACGUAGGGUCCAAGCGUUAAUCGGAAUUACUGGGCGUAAAGCGUGCGCAGGCGGUUGUGCAAGACCGAUGUGAAAUCCCCGAGCUUAACUUGGGAAUUGCAUUGGUGACUGCACGGCUAGAGUGUGUCAGAGGGGGGUAGAAUUCCACGUGUAGCAGUGAAAUGCGUAGAGAUGUGGAGGAAUACCGAUGGCGAAGGCAGCCCCCUGGGAUAACACUGACGCUCAUGCACGAAAGCGUGGGGAGCAAACAGG
rnacentral:rRNA from 1 species